rnacentral:lncRNA from 1 species
GCGAGACUUCCCUGAUGGAGGGCCGGGCGGACACGGGACCCACAGGGCAGGCUCCGUCACAGGUCAGUCUGCGCCCGCGGCCGGGUGGCACCGACAGCGACUCAGGACCUGGUGCUAGGCGCGCUCCCGGUUCCCGGGCAUGUGUGGUAGGCAUCGCCGGACGUCCGCGGCGAUGGAGAACACACUGGGGGUGACAAACCCCCCGUGCUGGGACACAGACUCGGGCCUUUCCCCAGCUCAGUCACAGAGACGAUGACUGGCCGACUUCCAGGAGGCUCAUCCUGGGUGGAGCCCACCACAGCUGCCUCAGCCCUGGGGACAGCGGGGACGGGGGAUGCGUUCGCCCCAGAGCUGGGCUUGGUUAGGAAGACGACGCAGUGCUUCUGGGAGGGGACAAGGCUGGCGUGUCUGAGGAUGGCCCGCUGGCCGUGAGGAGGAGCUGCAGAGAGAGGGCGUGGACGCUCUGGAAUCUUCCAGGGCCACUGUGAGCGUGCCGGAUCCACCACCGUGCAAGCUCCCAGCUCCGCCAGACUCGCGCCGAGACCACGAGUGCACCUGCUGCAGCGCCCCCCCCCCCCGCCAAUCCCUCUUCAGCUUCUGCAUCUGCCUCUCCUCACUGGACACUGCCCCAGCCCCUCUGUCCUCACUGGACUCUGCCCCAGCCGCUGCGUCCUCACUGGACACUGUCCCAGCCGCUCCGUCCUCACUGGACACUGCCCCAGCCCCUCUGUCCUCACUGGACACUGCCCCAGCCCCUCUGUCCUCACUGGACUCUGCCCCAGCCGCUCCGUCCUCACUGGACUCUGCCCCAGCCGCUCCGUCCUCACUGGACACUGUCCCAGCCGCUCUGUCACACAUCAAUCCAGAACCUUACCAUAAUGAUGGAGAAAUGUGCCCCAAUUUUUCCCACAUUCCCCAAACAUCUGCGUGGCCACCCAUCAGUAUCAGGCACCACAGGAAGCCCCGACGGCACCCGGGCAGCGGAGUGGGUGUGGAGCGGAGUGGGUGUGGCCUCAGCUCCCUGCGAUGUCUCCUGAGACAGAAGUGGGGUCGCAGAGCUCAGGAGCACCUCCCUGGAGCCGGCCUCGGGGUCUCCACGCACAGCGGCACGGGAGAUGCAGCCCCGGCCAGUGCCUCCCUGGAGCCGGCCUCGGGGUCUCCACGCACAGCCGCACGGGAGACACAGCCCCGGCCAGCGACGGCCUGGAGCCGGCCUCAGGGUCUCCACGCACAGCGGCACGGGAGAUGCAGCCCCGGCCAGUGCCUCCCUGGAGCCGGCCUCGGGGUCUCCGCACACAGCCACACAGGAGACACAGCCCCGGCCAGUGACAG